AACCUUAUGGACCUGCGGGCGUAUACCUGCGGAAGGAUCAUUACCGAGUUUACAACUCCCAAACCCCUGUGAACCAUACCAUAUCGUUGCCUCGGCGGCGCCCCCUCGGGGGACCGCCAGAGGACCCAAACUCUUUGCCUUUGAUAAGUUUGUCUGAGUGUUGCUGCAAGCAAAAUAAAUCAAAACUUUCAACAACGGAUCU
rnacentral:misc_RNA from 1 species